rnacentral:rRNA from 1 species
GACAUUGAUCUAUCACAAUCCACACCGCGAACCAUCAUUGUUGCCUUCUGAGGUUGGCCUAAUAACCGCCUCAGAGCCGGGGGUCGUAAGCUGAAACAUUGCUUGCGUGCUCCCGGGUCGUCCGGCAUGCAUGUGUGCUUCUUGCCAUGCAUGCAGGGCGUCGGUCUUUUAAAUACUAACCAACCAACACCAAACCAAAUCUAAUCUAUAAACCGAGUGCUUGGCUUAGAGCCAACGCUCACCAACCAAGACAACUCUCAACAACGGAUAUCUUGGCUCUCGGAUCGAUGAAGAACGCAGCGAAAUGCGAUACGUAGUGUGAAUUGCAGAAAUACGUGAAUCAUCGAAUCUUUGAACGCAAAUUGCGCUCGAGGCUUCGGCCAAGAGCAUGUCUGCCUCAGCGUCGGGUUAAUACUCGCUCCCAAAUCUUGAUUGGGAACGGAACUGGCUUUCCCGGCUUGGUUCAUUCUAAGCCGGGUCUGCUGAAGUGCAGAGGUUGAUGCAUGGACCCGCUAAAGGGCCUCUACUGGGUAGGCAAUCUAAUUGCUAAUGCUUUAGUAGAUGGCUUGGGUAGAUGCCUGUCGACCCUAACCAGGAACUUGGAGCCCCUGUGCUCUAAGCAAACCCCUUAUUUUCUCGACCUGAGCUCAGGCAAGAACACCCGCUGAACUUAAGCAUAUCAAUAAGCGGAGGAAAAGAAAUAAACCAGGA